rnacentral:rRNA from 1 species
GUGCUUAACACAUGCAAGUCGAACGAGAAUCACCGGAAGGAGUUUUCGGACAACGGAAGGUGAGGACAGUGGCGGACGGGUGAGUAACGCGUGAGGAACCUGCCUUUCAGAGGGGGACAACAGUUGGAAACGACUGCUAAUACCGCAUAACGCAUAGGUAUCGCAUGGUACUUAUGCCAAAGAUUUAUCGCUGAAAGAUGGCCUCGCGUCUGAUUAGCUGGUUGGUGAGGUAACGGCCCACCAAGGCGACGAUCAGUAGCCGGACUGAGAGGUUGACCGGCCACAUUGGGACUGAGAUACGGCCCAGACUCCUACGGGAGGCAGCAGUGGGGAAUAUUGGGCAAUGGGCGCAAGCCUGACCCAGCAACGCCGCGUGAAGGAAGAAGGCUUUCGGGUUGUAAACUUCUUUUGGCAGGGAAGAGGAGAAGACGGUACCUGCCGAAUAAGCCACGGCUAACUACGUGCCAGCAGCCGCGGUAAUACGUAGGUGGCAAGCGUUGUCCGGAUUUACUGGGUGUAAAGGGCGUGUAGCCGGGUUGGUAAGUCAGAUGUGAAAUGCACGGGCUUAACUCGUGAACUGCAUUUGAAACUGCUGAUCUUGA